GGGAAUUCCUGGCUGUGGUCCCUCCAAGGUAUCGACGAAAGUCUCAUAGAAGCUGCGAAGUUGACAGGAGAUAGAAACCAACAGUCUGCAGGUGUUGCUGUCACAUCUCCAAGUCACUCCUGGGAGGCCUGGCUGGAAGUGGUGAGGCGUCACUCUACCCAAUGCAAGAAACACGCCACGCCACCUGAAAUGGGACUUCUUCAAAUUGGAAAGUGUUUUCAACGGUGAUGGAGUGAAUGAUGCUGGCGCCAACAAUAAGCAACAGUCCACACAGUAUAGGAGUUGGAGGAGCACCUGCAUUUGGAGGCUUCUUCAGAGAUGUUCAUGCGCGUAAAAUGCAGGACUAUUUUUUUUUUCCUUCUAUUUACACAUACUACAUACACGCCUUAAAAGCCCAUCAUACACACAGCUUUGCACCUCCCGUCCCGGUGUCUCUGAAGCAACAGUUAACCAGCAUCACGACAACCUGGAAAGAAAUGCAUUUUAUUUCAAUAUGGCGUCCUGUGUUUCAGCCAAGUUAACGCACUGCUAUUGACACAUUCGUUACCUUCUUGACACACCGAUUUGCAAGAAAGUAAUUUAAAUGUCACCUUCGUAAACUUAACCCGUGUAUGCGACGCCUGUGGACUUGACUUUCAUUUCCGUCUCACUAAAAUAGCAUACAGUAAUUCCAAUUGCUGUUAUUAAACUCAGUGUAAUAUUUGAUAAAAAGAAAAAAUAUGAGAACGAUUGAUUUCCUUGUUCACUGGGCUCUGUACCAUGUCAUCUGCCAUCUCUUGAUGUCUGGGGAUAAGAGCAACACCAAAUAUUAGACAUAUUGUUUAUCCUACAUCAUUUCACUGACUAAUAAAAAAAAGAAAGGGAACACUU